ACCCAAUGUGAACGUUACCAAACUGUUGCCUCGGCGGGGUCACGCCCCGGGUGCGUCGCAGCCCCGGAACCAGGCGCCCGCCGGAGGAACCAACCAAACUCUUUCUGUAGUCCCCUCGCGGACGUAUUUCUUACAGCUCUGAGCAAAAAUUCAAAAUGAAUCAAAACUUUCAACAACGGAUCUCUUGGUUCUGGCAUCGAUGAAGAACGCAGCGAAAUGCGAUAAGUAAUGUGAAUUGCAGAAUUCAGUGAAUCAUCGAAUCUUUGAACGCACAUUGCGCCCGCCAGUAUUCUGGCGGGCAUGCCUGUCCGAGCGUCAUUUCAACCCUCGAACCCCUCCGGGGGAUCGGCGUUGGGGAUCGGGACCCCUCACACGGGUGCCGGCCCCGAAAUACAGUGGCGGUCUCGCCGCAGCCUCUCCUGCGCAGUAGUUUGCACAACUCGCACCGGGAGCGCGGCGCGUCCACGUCCGUAAAACACCCAACUUUCUGAAAUGUUGACCUCGGAUCAGGUAGGAAUACCCGCUGAACUUAAGCAUAUCAAUAA
rnacentral:rRNA from 1 species